GCCAAGGUGGUGAAAUGGUAGACACGCAUGGUUUAGGACCAUGUGCCGAAAGGCUUGGAGGUUCGAGUCCUCUCCUUGGCA
rnacentral:tRNA from 1 species